UCUCUCUCUCUCUCUCUCUCUCUCUCUCUCUCUCUCUCUCUCUCUCUCUCUCUCUCUCUCUGCAGGAUUACCUCAAAACCAUUAUUCCUUUGCAGUUCAUCACCGAGGGAGGCUUGAUUCUCAUCGUCAGAAAUCCAUGUAAGGAAAACCCUAACCGUGCAUCUAAUGCAUCACCCACCUCCAUGAAAUGUAUGCAUGCGUGAAGGCGGGGCAUUUUUACGGCACCUUCUUUGUCUAUAUAUUUUUUAAAUUCUUUGUAAUGUGGAUUUUCAAUGAAUGAAUGGGGUUUGGGUCUGUUUGGAUGCUUGGAAUGGCCAUACAUUCGGAUCAUCUCAAGUCUAGAUGAUCAUCUCAUUUUUGGGCUCAAGAUGCUCCAGAUGCACAAGAUUUAAAGGACAAUAUCUUAAGAGUAGGGGAAAGGAAGAUUUCAAUGCCAUUUUUGCAAGGUUUACAACUUCAAAAGGGGUGUUUUGUGUGGAUGUUGCUGAUAUUUAUAAUACAAUCUCCCUCCUGUAUUUCAUGCAUGCUAACUAUUUGAUAAAAUGGCUCAAUAAGGAGUGUUUUGUGUGGAUGUAGCUGAUAUUUAUAAUACAAUCUCCCUCUUGUAUUUCAUGCAUGCUAAUUGUUUGAUGAAAUGGCUCAAGAAGGAAUGAGAAGCUAGCACUACUGUCAUUAGGCUAUGAUCUGACUAAUCCUUGAUCUUGGGCAUGUCGAGAAAAGUUUAUCAAGAUUGAGCAGGUUUCAAUUUUUAUAGUGAUGCCUCUUAUAAUAGCUAUUUCUUUCUCUAUGUUCUGAAACACUUCUUACUAAGACUAUGAUGACACCUGUAACUUGAUUGGACUGGCACUAUGUGUCUCAACCUUAAGAUCAUGGGCCGGAUCCUAGCUUAUCUACUGAAGCACAUGAUUGCACAAAAUUGGUAAAGAAAACUGAUGAGCGAUUGUGUCUUUGAUUUUUUUAAAUGAUUGGCUCUCUCUGUCUUACUUCUGCCUACAUUUACAUCACUAAAUCCAUAAGGGCUCUUCCAUUUACCAUAGCCCUU